UACAUCGGAACGUGCCCAGUCUGGGGGGAUAACUACGCGAAAGCGUAGCUAAUACCGCAUACGAUCUACGGAUGAAAGCGGGGGAUCGCAAGACCUCGCGCGAUUGGAGCGGCCGAUGGCAGAUUAGGUAGUUGGUGGGGUAAAGGCUCACCAAGCCGACGAUCUGUAGCUGGUCUGAGAGGACGACCAGCCACACUGGGACUGAGACACGGCCCAG
rnacentral:rRNA from 1 species